ensembl:lncRNA
GGACGUCGACAUGAAGAGAAAGGUGGACGCAAACUCGGUCAUUCAAAGUCUCUCCCACCCCGCCGCCUCCACUACCCAGCAGGGGGAAAAAAAGAGAAGAAGAAAGAAAGAAAGAAACGGGAAGAAAGUAGUUGCGCCGGGCUCUCUCGCGGGGCCGCGCGCGGAGCUGCUCGAUUUUCCUCUCUAGGCAGAAGGGCCUUUCUUGCCCCUUCCCCCUGGCGGCUUGGGUCUAAUGUGCAAACUCCUCCUCCAAACCUUAGACCCUUCCAGCUCUAGAUCUCUCCCCACCUCCUAUCAAGCCCACCCGUCACUCCUUCCCCCACCCCACAACGCGAACACGCCCAAGGACAAUCACUCCCCAGCGAACUCGCUGCUCUCAGGGACCAGUACCCAGGACGCUGUGCGGGAGGUCAAGGACAGCGGAGUCAAGAGCCGGCGUCAGGUUAAAAAAAUCCAAAUUCCUACGACUUGUUUGAGAAUUUGGUCAAACACCGAGAAGCACGGGCACUGCGCCUACCAGAUCAGGCCGAACCCGACGCAGAGCAAGGCUGCGGGGUCCGAGCGGAGAAUUCAAGGCUGGGGGAACCUGGAAAAGGUCACUUCAUCCAUCCUCCUGACCUUGAGACCAGUCCUCACUCUCCACUGGCAAGUUAGGUACUGUACUCAUUUUACAGGGUGGAGUGAGGGGCAGAGAAGGUUCAUUCUAUUACCCAUGUAUCCUUGA